rfam:Schistosoma haematobium scaffold40_57, whole genome shotgun sequence.
AUUCAGCUGACGAGUCUCAAGUAGGACAAAACGCGCGUCAUGGAU